rnacentral:rRNA from 1 species
AUUGAACGCUGGCGGCAGGCUUAACACAUGCAAGUCGAACGAGUGGCGGACGGGUGAGUAAUGUCUGGGAAACUGGCUUAUGGAGGGGGAUAACUACGGGAAACUGUAGCUAAUACCGCGUACCAUCGGAUGUGCCCAGGUGGGAUUAGCUAGUUGGUGGGGUAAAGGCUCACCAAGCCGACGAUCCCUAGCUGGUCUGAGAGGAUGACCAGCCACACGGGGACUGAGACACGGCCCAGACUCCUACGGGAGGCAGCAGUGGGGAAUAUUGCGCAAUGGGGGCAAGCCUGAUGCAGCCAUGCCGCGGGAAUGAAGAAGGCCUUCGGGUGGUAAAGUACUUUCGGUGGGGAGGCGUUACCUGCAGAAGAAGCACCGGCUAACUCCGUGCCAGCAGCCGCGGUAAUAC